rnacentral:tRNA from 1 species
GACAGAGUGCCGGAGUGGUUAACGGGAAAGACUUGAAAUCUUUUGACUUAGGUCGCGCAGGUUCGAAUCCUGUCUCUGUCG